rnacentral:rRNA from 1 species
UACGGAGGGUGCAAGCGUUAUCCGGAAUCACUGGGCGUAAAGGGCGCGUAGGCGGCCUGUUAAGUCCGAUGUUAAAGACUGGGGCUCAACCCCAGCAUUGCGUUGGAUACUGGCAGGCUUGACGGUUGGAGAGGCGAGUGGAAUUACCAGUGUAGCGGUGAAAUGCGUAGAUACUGGUAGGAACACCCAUUGCGAAGGCAGCUCGCUGGACAACACGUGACGCUGAGGCGCGAAAGUGUGGGGAGCAAACCGGAUUAGAUACCCU